UUAAAUUGAAGAGUUUGAUCAUGGCUCAGAUUGAACGCUGGCGGCAGGCCUAACACAUGCAAGUCGAACGGUAACAGGAAGCAGCUUGCUGUUUUGCUGACGAGUGGCGGACGGGUGAGUAAUGUCUGGGAAACUGCCUGAUGGAGGGGGAUAACUACUGGAAACGGUAGCUAAUACCGCAUAACGUCGCAAGACCAAAGAGGGGGACCUUCGGGCCUCUUGCCAUCGGAUGUGCCCAGAUGGGAUUAGCUAGUAGGUGGGGUAACGGCUCACCUAGGCGACGAUCCCUAGCUGGUCUGAGAGGAUGACCAGCCACACUGGAACUGAGACACGGUCCAGACUCCUACGGGAGGCAGCAGUGGGGAAUAUUGCACAAUGGGCGCAAGCCUGAUGCAGCCAUGCCGCGUGUAUGAAGAAGGCCUUCGGGUUGUAAAGUACUUUCAGCGGGGAGGAAGGGAGUAAAGUUAAUACCUUUGCUCAUUGACGUUACCCGCAGAAGAAGCACCGGCUAACUCCGUGCCAGCAGCCGCGGUAAUACGGAGGGUGCAAGCGUUAAUCGGAAUUACUGGGCGUAAAGCGCACGCAGGCGGUUUGUUAAGUCAGAUGUGAAAUCCCCGGGCUCAACCUGGGAACUGCAUCUGAUACUGGCAAGCUUGAGUCUCGUAGAGGGGGGUAGAAUUCCAGGUGUAGCGGUGAAAUGCGUAGAGAUCUGGAGGAAUACCGGUGGCGAAGGCGGCCCCCUGGACGAAGACUGACGCUCAGGUGCGAAAGCGUGGGGAGCAAACAGGAUUAGAUACCCUGGUAGUCCACGCCGUAAACGAUGUCGACUUGGAGGUUGUGCCCUUGAGGCGUGGCUUCCGGAGCUAACGCGUUAAGUCGACCGCCUGGGGAGUACGGCCGCAAGGUUAAAACUCAAAUGAAUUGACGGGGGCCCGCACAAGCGGUGGAGCAUGUGGUUUAAUUCGAUGCAACGCGAAGAACCUUACCUGGUCUUGACAUCCACAGAACUUUCCAGAGAUGGAUUGGUGCCUUCGGGAACUGUGAGACAGGUGCUGCAUGGCUGUCGUCAGCUCGUGUUGUGAAAUGUUGGGUUAAGUCCCGCAACGAGCGCAACCCUUAUCCUUUGUUGCCAGCGGUCCGGCCGGGAACUCAAAGGAGACUGCCAGUGAUAAACUGGAGGAAGGUGGGGAUGACGUCAAGUCAUCAUGGCCCUUACGACCAGGGCUACACACGUGCUACAAUGGCGCAUACAAAGAGAAGCGACCUCGCGAGAGCAAGCGGACCUCAUAAAGUGCGUCGUAGUCCGGAUUGGAGUCUGCAACUCGACUCCAUGAAGUCGGAAUCGCUAGUAAUCGUGGAUCAGAAUGCCACGGUGAAUACGUUCCCGGGCCUUGUACACACCGCCCGUCACACCAUGGGAGUGGGUUGCAAAAGAAGUAGGUAGCUUAACCUUCGGGAGGGCGCUUACCACUUUGUGAUUCAUGACUGGGGUGAAGUCGUAACAAGGUAACCGUAGGGGAACCUGCGGUUGGAUCACCUCCUUACCUUAAAGAAGC
rnacentral:rRNA from 1 species